ACCCGCUAAAUUAAUUUGGAGUUGUGUGCCGACGGAUGCCGGCACGAUAAUUUAAUGAAGCCCUGCAAAUAAACGUGCGCUGGUGGAGCCGGCGGGAUUACAGGAUACACGUUGAAUUUAUCGGGCGUCUGUUAAGCCGCCCAGCGAUUCUGAAGUUCGGGAAUUACUGUGGGACGUGAUGGUGGACGGGCAGACACACCUUCUGCGCGCGACCGCAGGAAGAAGCAAGCGCCAGCAAACCAGCAGAUUGAGCGGCUGGACGUGUGAUGGUCAGUCCUGGCCCCGUGUAUGAGUGCGUAUAUGUGCGUAUCCUUCUCGCAUCUCUUUAACAACCCCGUUAGACGUGAUAAGUGCUGGAGCUUGAACUUCAAGGCAAGCCGGCAGCGAGCGCUUCCGCCUGGCAGGCGAUAAGAGCCAGCAGGGAGGUUUGGAGAUGACGUGGGUUUUUCCGUGUAGCCUGUUUGUGCCCAGGACUUCGGUGAGGUCAUGUCGGAGAUAAAUCGAUUUGUUCUGCCGUCACAGCCGGCUUCGGCUUUCGUCGCACCUGCGAUAAGAGCGGUGGGUCCGCGUCUCCCGCCCUGGGUACAACGCCACUGCCACCGCCGCUGUGACCGGCAGCAGCCGGAGCAGGGUUAGACUUUGGGCUUCGAAGUGUCCUUGUGCCAACGGCUUUAUCACCGGGGCCAGACGAGCGCGUUGAAAGAAAGGAAGCGUUUCCGAUUCACCGGCCUUCCCCCCGCCAGCGUGUCUGCGUGUUUGCCGUUGCCCUUUAUUAUUAUUGUAGCUCCAGUGAUUACACACGUGGGGCCCUUUUGGCUUUGAGGUUCUUCUGCUUUGUUGGCGUCUCGGGCCAUUACUGAAAAGGUCGUUUAAAAACAAAAAUCCCUUGUCGAGUGGGUUCAGCUGCUCGCAGCCCUGGUAUCAAGGCGUAAUUAUUCAUCGCGAAUGCAUCGGAGAGUGGGCGGCAAAGGGUUAAGAGCGAGCGCUGGGGAAGGGAAAGAUCGUAUCAUUAAAUAAAAAUGCGACCACCCAUGAUUACAAGUGCUGCAGUCCUCCUUUUAACAAGCACACCCCGUACUUCCAUUAACCCGGGCCCGCUUGAAUAGCCGCCUGUCCGGCCGGGCGGUCGCGGUUCUGCGGAAGCUGUCCCCAACGACAAAGACGGGGCCACCUACCACGAACUUUCCUCCGCGACUUUAUUCUCCGGCAGUGCUCAAGUGUAAAUAAACGUGUUUACUCCCAUCAGGA